rnacentral:rRNA from 1 species
UAAGCUUAGUGGCGAACGGGUGAGUAACGCGUGAGUAACCUGCCCUAGAGUGGGGGACAACAGUUGGAAACGACUGCUAAUACCGCAUAAGCCCACGGUACCGCAUGGCACUGAGGGAAAAGGAUUUAUUCGCUUUAGGAUGGACUCGCGUCCAAUUAGCUAGUUGGUGAGGUAACGGCCCACCAAGGCGACGAUUGGUAGCCGGACUGAGAGGUUGAACGGCCACAUUGGGACUGAGACACGGCCCAGACUCCUACGGGAGGCAGCAGUGGGGGAUAUUGCACAAUGGGGGAAACCCUGAUGCAGCGACGCCGCGUGGAGGAAGAAGGUUUUCGGAUUGUAAACUCCUGUCGUUAGGGACGAUAAUGACGGUACCUAACAAGAAAGCACCGGCUAACUACGUGCCAGCAGCCGCGGUAAAACGUAGGGUGCAAGCGUUGUCCGGAAUUACUGGGUGUAAAGGGAGCGCAGGCGGGAAGACAAGUUGGAAGUGAAAACCUUGGGCUCAACCCAUGAAUUGCUUUCAAAACUGUUUUUCUUGAGUAGUGCAGAGGUAGAUGGAAUUCCCGGUGUAGCGGUGGAAUGCGUAGAUAUCGGGAGGAACACCAGUGGCGAAGGCGGUCUACUGGGCACCAACUGACGCUGAGGCUCGAAAGCAUGGGUAGCAAACAAGAGUAGAUACCCUGGUAGUCCAUGCCGUAAA